UGGUAAGUGAUAUUUAUUAAGGUAACUAAUGUAAGAUGUUGGAAUUUCAGGAGUUCAAAAUAUGCUGUAUUUUUUUGUGUGUGUGUGUGUGUGUGUGUGUGUGUGUGUGUGUGUGUGUGUGUGUGUGUUGGGGCGGCUGGCAAUAUGGAUCUGAUUUAAUUUGUUAACAUCAGUGCUGAUAUUGAAGUGCAUCUGAAGGCAAUCUCAUUUCAUAUAAGGGGCCUAAGUGUGAUUUUGCUGAUGAUUAGAGCCUCAAACAGUCCAUUUUGCCAGCUUGGAUAUGCCAGAAUUCUCCAACAGGGUGGCACUUCAGUGACCCUGUCAGCUGAUCCAA